rnacentral:rRNA from 1 species
CCUGAACGCUGGCGGCAUGCCUUACACAUGCAAAUCGAACGGUAACGGGCCUUCGGGUGCCGACGAGUGGCGAACGGGUGAGUAAUACAUCGGAACGUGCCCGAUCGUGGGGGAUAACGAGGCGAAAGCUUUGCUAAUACCGCAUACGAUCUACGGAUGAAAGCAGGGGACCGCAAGGCCUUGCGCGGACGGAGCGGCCGAUGGCAGAUUAGGUAGUUGGUGGGAUAAAAGCUUACCAAGCCGACGAUCUGUAGCUGGUCUGAGAGGAUGAUCAGCCACACUGGGACUGAGACACGGCCCAGACUCCUACGGGAGGCAGCAGUGGGGAAUUUUGGACAAUGGGCGCAAGCCUGAUCCAGCCAUGCCGCGUGCAGGAUGAAGGCCUUCGGGUUGUAAACUGAUUUUGUACGGAACGAAAAGCCUUCUUUUAAUACAGGAGGGUCAUGACGGUACCGUAAGAAUAAGCACCGGCUAACUACGUG